CCGAACCCGCAACCUCAUGGUUCCUAGUCGGAUUCGUUAACCACUGCGCCACGACGGGAACUCCGUAACCUAGCAUUCUGACCCAGAAGUAGGUCCAAGCAGGCCAAAGCCGUGGGCACAGUAAUCCCUCCACUUGGGACUCUUCACUCUUAGAUAGUACAGUAGGAGCAUCGUUGUGGCAGAGCCUCAAGCCAUGGCAAGCUUAGGGGAGAGCUGUGCCCAGAGUUUCCUCCUGGGUUUUCCCUCAAGAGUUCCAUGGUAGAGAUACCAGGCUGAGGUACUGGCAGCCAGAGAGGUCCUUUUUCAGCCAUUGCCCCAGUCCAGAACAUCUCCACAGAGCACCCUAGCAGGCCGAGGCUCCUUGUUCCGGGUAUGCUUCUAAACUGAACUGGGUCGGAGCUGUGCUUCAGCUCUAUUAAUAGCCCCCUAGCCCAGCCUGCUAGCCCCAAACCCGGAUGCCAGAAGCUGUGAGUCAGCAUCUAAAAAUAACGGAGAGCAACUGCAUCCGAACCCCAAUGAGUAGCUCCCCUUGGCCCUCCGCCCUCAAAUUUUUGUCAUUCUCAGUCUCCAGUCCAGGGCCCCCACAGAGGUUAAGUGCGCCAUAGCUGUCCAGUCCUCCUGGAAAGAGGGGAAGGAUGCGUGGUGGCAGGCUCAAGGCUCAAGCUAGGGGCUAGGGGCAAGGACUUGGUGCAUUUUGCCGAAAGUCUGGACUCGAAGCUUAGAGGACUGCAGCUGUGAGCCUGGGAGCUGAGAGGUCGAAGCUGCAGGGGGUUGGAGACCCUGGAGGUGGCCAGGGUCAGCUCGGAAGGGGAGGGGAAGAGGCUGCAGGGCUGCAAGGCUGGGCGACUGGGAGGGGACAGAAGAAUAGGGAUGCGGGGUGGGGGUGGGGGUAGGGUGGCGGGGGGGAGAUCCAUGCUGAGAGGCGAGAGCCCGGCAGUACCUGACAGGCUGGGCACCCCAGAGCUGAGGCCGGCAGUCGGUCUGAGGGGCGGGAUCGGGAACGGGGUAAACUAUGGAAAUGCAGCUUGAAAACGUGGUGUGUGGAAGAGGUGGUCCAAGGCGGCGUGGACCUCUGAGAAGACCAGGACCAGGCAGCGGUCGCGGCGGGGGCUCCGGGCGCUCCUCCUGCCUCCCUGUCCGUCGCACGUCGGUGCCCCCGCCCACCGAGCCAGCUGCAGGCCAGCCCCGCCCCUACAGGACUCUACAUCCGCUCCACGACGGUAAACCUUAACUGUUUAGCCCGGGGACUCAGGUGCAGCAAACACACCGGGGAACUUGCUCCUCGAGGAGAAGGUUCAAGGCAAUUUUGUGUAUAAGGAAGGACCUAAGAAUCUUCAAGGAACCAAAGAGACCAAACUCCAAGGCCCGGGCAGCAUAUAUUAGUCUGAAUCAGCUCCAUCACCAGGACCCUAGGGAGAAUAAAGACCCAGAAAGCUGAGGCAC